rnacentral:rRNA from 1 species
AGCAGCCGCGGUAAUUCCAGCUCCAAUAGCGUAUAUUAAAGUUGUUGCAGUUAAAAAGCUCGUAGUUGAAUUUCGGGAUCAAUACGUCGGUCGUGCUCCGGUACGUACUGGCGUCAUUGAUUUCUCCCUUCUGACGAACCACGAUGUCAUUAACUUGGUGUCAUGGGAAAUCAGGACUGUUACUUUGAAAAAAUUAGAGUGUUUAAAGCAGGCUCACGCUUGAAUACAUUAGCAUGGAAUAAUGAAAUAGGACGUUCGAUCCUAUUUUGUUGGUUUCUAGGAUCAACGUAAUGAUUAAUAGGGAUAGUUGGGGGCAUUAGUAUUCAAUUGUCAGAGGUGAAAUUCUUGGAUUUAUUGAAGACUAACUACUGCGAAAGCAUUUGCCAAGGAUGUUUUCAUUAAUCAAGAACGAAAGUUAGGGGAUCGAAGACGAUCAGAUACCGUCGUAGUCUUAACCAUAAACUAUGCCGACUAGGGAUCGGAUGAUGUUAAUUUUUUAAUGACUCAUUCGGCGCCUUACG